rnacentral:rRNA from 1 species
UAUUACAUACAUUCCUACAACGUUAAUGUAGAGGAUCCCAUUAUAACUCUGCAAUUAAGUGCACUUGGGAUAUAAUAGUACUAGGAUGGGUGACCUCUUGGGAUGCCCUAGUAUUUUACAUGC